AGUGUGUGGCCUCUUUGAGCUCUCUGCUUAAGUGGGAGCGUGGGUUUGCUCACAGCAAGGAUUAGACAAGGCAAUGUUUGGGAUGUGCCGGUUUGUCAUGGAGAAGCCUUCCCUGCUAGAACGGCAGAGCCCGGGGGGGCUAUGGGAGAUCAGAGGGGCCUGACCUCACCCAAGGAUCAAGGGGGGCUUUCUGGAGGAGCAGGCACACAAAGAUUCUGGAAUUAGGUGCACAGGGAGGGGUGUGCCUAACAAGCGAGGUCAUUUAUGCACAUUAUGUUCUCUGUGCCCACUCCUAAGCUGGGCGAUGCUGAGGACACAGCAGUGACCUUGAGGAAAAGAUAGACCUCACACCAGACCAGAGUGAUCCGGGCUGAGAUGGGGGAGGUAUGGGCAGAGGGGUUGGGGCUGGGAGUGGGGAAGCCCUGGGAGGCCAGCGGCGGCUUCCUCCCAGGCCAGAGGGGGCAGUCAGGAUGGGCGUCCUGAGAGAGUGGAGACCGCGUAGGCUAAGGGCUUGGGCAGGGAGAACCCACACUCCUGCCCAGAAGCCUGCAGGAGUUGGCGGGCAGGACGCUGGGAGGAAACAGAAGCAGGAUCCCGGGGUUGAGCAGACCCUGGGAGGUGAGGGUCAGGCCGGCUACAUGCUCAGCCUCUGAGCCUCAGCUCUCAGCUCUCAUCCAGUGAGGGGGUGUGGUGCUCUCAGCCAAGAGCUGCCCCGGGUGAGGAGGGCUGGGGGUGGCGGGGGCAGGCCAGGCGGCGCUCAUCUCUCUGUCUCCCCUCACUGCUGCUGCUGCAGGAUCUGUGUGAGCCUUAUCAUCCUCAUCGCCCUCAACGUCCUGCUCUUCUACCGCCUCUGGUCCCUGGAAAGGACAGCCCACACCUUUGAGUCCUGGCACAGCCUGGCCCUGGCCAAGGGCAAGUUCCCCCAGACGGCCACAGAGUGGGCCGAGAUCCUGGCGCUGCAGAAGCAAUUCCACAGCGUGGAGGUGCACAAGUGGAGGCAGAUCCUGCGGGCCUCCGUGGAGCUCCUGGAUGAGAUGAAGUUCUCGCUGGAGAAGCUGCACCAAGGCAUCACAGUCUCAGACCCUCCCUUUGACACCCAGCCCCGGCCCGAUGACAGCUUUUCCUGAGGACCCCGGCCACGCAGCUGUUCCCCCACAUGGACAGAUGGACACACAGAGCCUCGGCGGCCACUGCUGGCACGGUGUGAGCGCCAGGCAUCUCCCACCCGCCCCUCCCGACGGCCCAACCAGGGGCUGUGCAGACGUGGGGACCACGGAACCGAGAUGCACUUUAGCCCAGGGAGCUGGCCUGGCCUCUGGCAGGCCCCCCACUAACUUAUUUUGCCCGGCUGAGGUUGUGGGGGGCGCCUCCUGGGGUGCACGAUUCCCUCAGCUCUGGGUUUAAUGUAUUAUAUUUAUUUGGGGCCGACAGUGCCCCAAUAAAGGGUCAGAAGUGGCUGUGGCUGUGCCUGUGGGGCCCUGGGAGUGGGUGGGAACCUCCUGUUGCACUCAGAUCCUGCCAUGGUGGGGAGGGGACCUCUGUCUGUGUUCUGGGGCCAUAGUCACUGAAACGAUCUGGAAUUCCUGCAGCAUCUUACACAAGCCUUACAUCAUCUGAGGUCAACGCAGGAACUCCG
rnacentral:lncRNA from 1 species